GACGAGAAGUCCAGUUUCAGGCGUCAUUGAUAGUAAAUCAUUCAUGGUUACUCCAACUGUGAAGCCUGGUGGAGAGGGGGAGAAAGCGCUCUUGAAGAAAGACAUGGUUUGUGGAGUUCAUGACAGCUGACCCGUCAAUGGAUUUUGGUUUCCUGCAGCUCCAGCAUAAAUGAUGAGUUCCCUUGAAGUUGGCGAGCGUAUCCUGGCAGGUUUGGAGUUGUGCUUGUUUUAUUUCAACUUUUGGGUGAUGGAUUAAGCAAUACUCCCCAAAUUUCCUAAAACUUGAGAAUGCUUUACAAAGAUAGCUCUCAUUCACACGUCACCAUCCUAAUCACAGCUGGUGUUUCUUGCAUUUGUCUUUAUGAUGUUGUUUGUCCGUCGAUGUAAAACCUCUAAAGUCUUGACAGAUUUGAUGUGCUUACAAACUGUUUUGGAAAUGAAAACCCAAAGCAAUGUCAGAUUUGUCACUGGCUGUAUUUAAUACAUUUCCAUUACAUGAUGGUGAAUAAAGACAUUUUUCUGGAAUGUUUCCAUUACAAUUAUUUACCUUCAUAUCCGUUUACAGUAGAACGCAAUACACAAAGUCCCUUUGAUUCCUUGUAUAUCAACACAGAAGCAAAGAUUGAGAAUAUAUAUAAUCAGAAUAUGUCUAAAGAGCUGGAUUACAAGUGUCUUAAUUAAGGCAUAAGUGCAUUAUUUCUACUCCCAUUGUGGUGCUACUUGUGAAAAGCAAUAUUAAUAACACAUUGGUUUCACAUAUUUAAAUGAGAUAUCAAUUUUUAAAAAACUAAAGUAAACUUAAUUUUAAGAAAUUAGAUCUAAUUCAAUUGACACUGAAACUAUUUCACUUUUCAAUCUGUUUAUGGCAUAAAACACCUGAGGAAACAGUGCCCUUCAUUUGAAUCACUGAUUUAGAGUUUAACUGUAAUUCCCUUAUUGAGAAACAAAAAGCUUAUUUUCAAGAAAUACUGUAACCCGUUUUUCUCAUGUGAUGAGCACUAAAAACUACAAGGAGGGCCCUGGUGACCCCUCAA